rnacentral:rRNA from 1 species
UACGGAGGGUGCGAGCGUUGUCCGGAAUCAUUGGGCGUAAAGGGCGCGUAGGUGGCCCGGUCAGUUCGUGGUGAAAGCGCGGGGCUCAACCCUGCGUCGGCCAUGAAUACUGCCGCGGCUGGAGCACUGUAGAGGCAGGCGGAAUUCCGGGUGUAGCGGUGGAAUGCGUAGAGAUCCGGAAGAACACCGGUGGCGAAGGCGGAUCUCUGGGCCAUUACUGACGCUGAGGAGCGAAAGCGUGGGGAGCGAACAGG